rnacentral:misc_RNA from 2 species
ACGGAAGAUGGGGAUUAUCAGGUAAAACUGCGCAACCUGAUACGUUUCCUGGAAGAUGGUGACAGAGCGAAGAUCACACUGCGUUUCCGCGGUCGUGAGAUGGCUCACCAAGAACUGGGUAUGAAAUUGAUGAAACGCAUCGAAGAAGACCUGGGGGAUAUGAUUGUCGUUGAGUCUCGUCCGAGACUGGAAGGCCGUCAAAUGGUGAUGCUGCUGUCGCCGAAGAAGAAAAAGUAAUCCUGGUUCGAUAUUUAAACCGCUUCGCUUGAUAGCUUUGCUAUCAGGCUUGGCGGCUUAGUGUUGUUUAUCAGAUAAAAAAACUUGAA